UACAAUUUCAUAUCGAUUACCAUUUUGUGUCAUCUUUAUGUACAACGUGCCAAUUAUAUAUUAUGUACAAUCAUAAACAUUCGAAUUUUCGCAGCUACAAAUAUGAAUAAUCAUCGGGGUUUUAGAACCCGAAUUGACCAGAAGACGGAGAAGGGAUUGAAGGGAUCGAGUAACAUGUUCGAUGUGCUCAACGAAGCAAAACAUUGAAUGGUAUAUUAGAUUUAAAAAUUUAAUUAAACAUUCUAAUAGUACAGAAAAUCGUUUGGAGCUUUUAAAUCUUUAUGUUGAUAUUAAUGGCAUUCCAUUCGGGUCUCACUCAUUAAAGUUACAAAUGGCAGGCGGCUUGGUGAACUCACUUAUUGAAUAAUAUAGGAGUAGCGUCGAAAUCACACAUCUUGAGUGUUCAGAAUUCUGAAGACAGCAAUGAGUUUGACCGCAGAUAAAUAGGACCUACAAUCGCUUGAAUAUGUAGCUAUAAUGUGUGUAUUGCAGUAUUUUAUAGCCGUGAAUAAAUAACAAUAUACCAAUUAAACGAUAUGCUGAAAGCACUUGA